UACGUAGGGUGCGAGCGUUAAUCGGAAUUACUGGGCGUAAAGCGUGCGCAGGCGGUUCGCCAAGUCAGGUGUGAAAUCCCUCGGCUUAACCGGGGAACUGCGUCUGAUACUGGUUGGCUUGAGUUUGGGAGAGGGAUGCGGAAUUCCAGGUGUAGCGGUGAAAUGCGUAGAUAUCGAGAGGAACACCUGCGGCGAAGGCGGGUAGCUGGGCCGACACUGACGCUGAU
rnacentral:rRNA from 1 species